rnacentral:rRNA from 1 species
GUCCUCGUGGAGGAAGUACGAGGUCUGGCCUGCCCACUGAUGAGAGUUUAAGGGCCGCGGUAUACUAACCGUGCGAAGGUAGCAUAGUCAAUAGUCCUUUAAUUGGGGGCUUGAAUGAAUGGUCGGACAUGAAGAAAUCUGUCUUAAUGCAGGUUGGUGAAAUUAACUUUUGUGUGAAAAGGCAUUAAUAACUUAAGGGGACGAUAAGACCCUAUAAAACUUGAUGGGUAUUUCGCCCAGAGGUCUUAGAUUUGGGUCUAAGGGGGGCCGAGCGGGGCCCAUUGUGCUGGGGCGGCAGGAAUAUAAGCUUAGUAACUGUUCUUUAAAUUGUAAUAAUUAUGGUUAGAUUUUGACCCUGAAGUUUGGGUUAAAAGUGUAAGUUACUUUAGGGAUAACAGCGUUAUUUCUCUUGAGAGUUCAUAUCGACAGAGAUAUUUGCGACCUCGAUGUUGAAUUAAAGCUUCUUCCGGGAGUAGGAGUUCGGAGAGUAGGUCUGUUCGACCUUUAAAGUUUU